GCCGAGUUGGGUAACGUCAACUUGUCACUCAAGUGAGGGCAUCAUAGUGGUGGGAUAAUACUCUGAUUUAGCUGGGUUGGGCUUUGAUAGCAAAGUGCUGGCCUGCCCACUCCAAGUUGAGAGCUGGCCCACGGGAUCUGAGCGAAGGCGUAGGUCUCUUGGGUCCUAGAGUGGAGGGCACCGCGUGAGGCUGGUUUCACAGAGCAGCGAAAACCUCCCUCUCCUGACAGUGGAGGGAUAACAGGCUGCUGCAGUCACAGUCACUGUCCUGUGUGCCCAGCUGUCCUGUGUGCCCAGUG
rfam:Vigna angularis cultivar Jingnong 6 scaffold5_17, whole genome shotgun sequence.